GCGAAUCGCCCUUCGGGGUGCCGCGGCGUCGAAUCCUUUGCAUACACGAAGGUGUGACAGGGCUAUCCCGAGUGCCAUCCGCUGAGGAAGGCUUUUACCCAGUCUAGAACGCUGGGGGAAUAAGGAGAGGGCAAGUCUGGUGUCAGCCGCCGCGGUAAUACCAGCUCUCCGAGUGGUGUGGAUGUUUAUUGGGCCUAAAGCAUCCGUAGCUGGCUAGGUAAGUCCCUUGUUAAAUCCACCGAAUUAAUCGUUGGAUCGCGGGGGAUACUGCUUGGCUAGGGGACGAGAGAGGCAGACGGUAUUUUCGGGGUAGGGGUGAAAUCCUAUAAUCCCGGGAAGACCACCAGUGGCGAAGGCUGUCUGCUAGAACGCGCCCGACGGUGAGGGAUGAAAGCUGGGGGAGCGAACCGGAUUAGAUACCCGGAUAGUCCUAGCUGUAAACGAUGCAGACUAGGUGUUUGGACGGCCACGUGCCGUUCUAGUGCCGCAGGGAAGCUGUUAAGUCUGCCGCCUGGGGAGUACGAUCGCAAGAUUGAAACUUAAAGGAAUUGGCGGGGGAGCAC
rnacentral:rRNA from 1 species